rnacentral:rRNA from 1 species
AUACGUAGGGAGCGAGCGUUGUCCGGAAUUACUGGGUGUAAAGGGAGCGUAGGCGGGAGUGCAAGUCAGAUGUGAAAUACAUGGGCUCAACCCAUGGGCUGCAUUUGAAACUGCAUUUCUUGAGUGAAGUAGAGGUAAGCGGAAUUCCUGGUGUAGCGGUGAAAUGCGUAGAUAUCAGGAGGAACACCGGUGGCGAAGGCGGCUUACUGGGCUUUUACUGACGCUGAGGCUCGAAAGCGUGGGGAGCAAACAGGAUUAGAUACCCUGGUAGUCCACGCUGUAAACGAUGAUUACUAGGUGUGGGGGGACUGACCCCUUCCGUGCCGCAGUUAACACAAUAAGUAUUCCGCCUGGGGAGUACGGCCGCAAGGUUGAAACUCAAAUGAAUUGACGGGG